GCACUAUUGGAUGAGCCUACGUCGGAUUAGCUUGUUGGUGGGGUAACGGCCUACCAAGGCGACGAUCCGUAGCUGGUCUGAGAGGACGAUCAGCCACACUGGGACUGAGACACGGCCCAG
rnacentral:rRNA from 1 species